ACAGUGAGGUCAGAGGGAAAUGAAGUGCACAAAAUAUACAGAUAGAGAUAAUUAUGUAAUUACCGUAAUAGUAGCUAUUUAUAAGCAGUUGUAGCUGUCCUGACAUUGGUAAACUAACUGACACACAUAGUGUGAUUUUUAAAUAAAAGUUGUGUUUCAUUCAAGUGUAUGUAUGGAGGGGGGGACUGUAUGCAUCCAAAACAGAGAUUGUAAUGUAAUCCAUGAAAACGUGUGCCAUAAUAAAUUUGUUGGUCUUUAAAAUGCCGAAGGGCUAUUGUUUUUGCUGCAACAAAUUUAACACAACCACCCCUCUGAGCACAAACCAUAAAGUGACAGAUAUAGCAGCCACAUUAACUUUGAAGGGGUCUGCGAAGGUUCAAACACUGAUGAAAAACAGCACCCUGUCCUUUUGCAAAUUCCAUUUUUUAAGGGCAAAGUUUGCUGAGCAGAUUCCUUUAACAGAAAGAUACUGUCAACCAACAACCUUUAGAAACCUAGUGUCGCUAUCAGCUAGCUCAUUUGAAUAACAAUAGAGCCACUGUUGUAUAGAUGGAAGUUCUGAACAGGCCCUAUAAAUCUGUUUUAGGGUCUUCUCUAACUAGAUGUUGUUUGGAUUACUUUCAAAACGGUUUAAGGCAUUAUGGCCUAAUGGAAACGAGAACACGCACAAGCACUUUAAAAACUUUAUGAUGCUAAGCUACAUGGGAUGGGAUUAUCUCACAAUAAUGUGACUAUCUGCAACUCAACACUUGAUGAACUGUGUAGGGCCACCAUUUGCGAAAGAUGACAACACUGUAAUUGAGCCUCAGUAUGAAGAUUGAUCAUUUGGUCAUGUUCCAUCUAAUGGGCCAAAGAUUGUUGCUGGCUCCACUGUUUAUAAGUAGAGCGUCAGCAGCUUGUCGCUUGGGAGAAGGACGUUUUCCUUGACUAGCAAAUGACGCUUAGACAUUCUAAUAUCAAGAAUUUCAAGGUUGCCCAACUACCUCAUAGAAUGCAUGGGGCUGUGAGAGACAGCAGCAGCCACCCAGUAAGGAUGCCCUGGCCUGUGCGGGAUUAACAUUCUUGCUGCUUAAAAAGCCAGGAGAAUCAACCACAGAAUGGCACUUGCUUGCUUUCAGAAAGUAUGGUAUCUAGCUUUGAUGAAAUGAAAUGAUACACAAAUUGAAAGUCCUCCAGGGGAUUUUAGAAACAGAUGUGUUUAUUUAUCACAUGGUAUUCAUUUAUGACAUAUGUCAACAAAGAAGAACAACACAAUCAACAACCCGCCUCUCAUUUCACUAGAAGUUGGAAUAUAUGACUUUUAUUUUACUCUCUGUAUACUUUUUACAUAUAUGCAUUGCUGAAUUCCCAUAUUAUCCUUCUGACUUUUUUACUGAGGCAACCUUAUCUGUGGUAUUACAUCCAGUCACUGUUCUUGUCAUUCACAUUUUGUCUCCACUGUACAUUUACUCCUUUGUAUCUUAAAUUACUUCAACAUCCCCAUAUGUUGCAUAUUUCUGAGUUGCCAGGGGUUGGACCAGAUGAUCCUCAGGGUCCCUUCCCACUCUACAAUUCUAUGUCGACUUUUUUGGGUUGGGAUGGGGCAUAGGGUUUUAUUU